AUUGAACGCUGGCGGCAGGCCUAACACAUGCAAGUCGAACGAGAGGCAGACGGGUGAGUAAUGUCUGUGAAACCGUCCGAUGGAGGGGGAUAACUACUGGAGACAGUAGAUAAUAUCCCAUACCCUCCGCUAUGCGCAGAUGUGAUUAGCUAGUAGGUGGGGUAAAGGCUCACCUCGUCGACGAUCCCUAGCUGGUCUGAGAGGAUGACCAGCAACACUGGAACUGAGACACGGUCCAGACUCCUACGUGAGGCAGCAGUGGGGAAUAUUGCACAAUGGGCGCAAGCCUGAUGCAGCCAUGCCGCGUGUAUGAAGAAGGCCUUCGGGUUGUAAAGUACUUUCAGCGAGGAGGCGUUACUCGCAGAAGAAGCACCGGCUAACUCCGUGCCAGCAGCCGCGGUAAUAC
rnacentral:rRNA from 1 species